ACUAGUAAUGUACUAGUAAUAAUAGAACUACUAGUACUAUUGGUAUGUACCACUUGUACUACGAGUACGUUCUACUAGUACUACUAGUAC
rnacentral:tRNA from 1 species